CUGGCGGCGUGCCUAAUACAUGCAAGUCGAGCGGAUCUUCAUUAGCUUGCUUUUGAAGAUCAGCGGCGGACGGGUGAGUAACACGUGGGCAACCUGCCUGUAAGACUGGGAUAACUUCGGGAAACCGGAGCUAAUACCGGAUAAUCCUUUCCCUCACAUGAGGGAAA
rnacentral:rRNA from 1 species